CUGACCGGCUGGACUUGCAGGAUCACGGAUGAGGACGACCUCAAGAUCUACUUUCGCAGGGUGCCCUCACUGUCCUCCCUCCCCCACAGGUCUCCAAGCCCACUUUGGCUACUGGUCCUCCUGUCGAGCCUCGUGCUCCGGCAGCGGGUCCAAGUAGUCCAAAGUGGGUGAGGAACCUGCGGGCCCUCAUGGAGGAGUGCAACAGGCGGCGUGGCGGCCUGACAGGUAAGAGAGGUGCUGGGCCUCCAGCAGGCCAACCUCCAGUGGAGUCCACAGUGACAAGGACCAGAGUUCAGUGGAAGCACACUGGGAGGGGGGAGGAAGAUUUCACGGGCCGCUGCACAGCGGUGGCCCGUGACAAGGUCCCAGCUCCAGCAGACCCAUGAAGAUGACCAACCGAGCCCACCAGAGACGACCCCAGAGACUACAACCAGACGACAGGACAACUUUCUAAA
ensembl:lncRNA